rnacentral:lncRNA from 1 species
UUACCACUGACGACAAAAAUUUACCAUUAGAGGACCUAAUGGUUUUUGUAAAGCAUAUGUUUAGUCUGAUGUGUGAAUUCCAUUGCAUUCAGAACUAUUAACACGUUGUAAAACUAGAACUAGUGAACGAUGGGAGUUAGAAGUUGCGUAGUCGAGUUUACUAACAAACAGCG